GGACCCUUAGCUCAGCCGGUCAGAGCAGUUAACUCAUAAUUUCCAGGUCCUGGGUUCAAAUCCCAGAGGGUCCACCA
rnacentral:tRNA from 1 species